rnacentral:rRNA from 1 species
UACGGAAGGCAGCAGUGGGGAAUAUUGCACAAUGGGCGAAAGCCUGAUGCAGCUAUGCCGCGUGUAUGAAGAAGGCCUUAGGGUUGUAAAGUACUUUCAUCGGGGAGGAAAAAACAAAACUAAUAAUUUUAUUUCUUGACGUUACCCGAAAAAGAAGCACCGGCUAACUCCGUGCCAGCAGCCGCGGUAAUACGGAGGGUGCUAGCGUUAAUCAGAAUUACUGGGCGUAAAGAGCACGUAGGUGGUUUUUUUAAGUCAGAUGUGAAAUCCCUGGGCUUAACCUAGGAACUGCAUUUUGAAACUGAAAUACUAGAGUAUCGUAGAGGGAGGUAGAAUUCUAGGUGUAGCGGUGAAAUGCGUAGAUAUCUGGAGGAAUACCUGUGGCGAAAGCGGCCUCCUAAACGAAUACUGACACUGAGGUGCGAAAGCGUGGGGAGCAAACGAGGGAUUUAGGAUA